rnacentral:tRNA from 1 species
UCAGCGAAUGGGUGGCCGACUGCUGGCAUUCCAGCUACCGGCGUGCGCCCUCCGACGGCGUGGCCUGGUUCAACCCGGGUUGCCGGGC